AGUCCUGUACCGCAGUGGACAGCGCGUUGGACUUCUAAUAUAAGUCCCGGAUCGAAUCCGGCAGGGAUG